UACGUAGGUGGCAAGCGUUGUCCGGAUUUACUGGGCGUAAAGGGCGCGUAGGCGGCCUACUAAGUCGGACGUGAAAUCCCUCGGCUCAACCGAGGAACUGCGUCCGAUACUGGUGGGCUUGAAUCCGGGAGAGGGAUGUGGAAUUCCAGGUGUAGCGGUGAAAUGCGUAGAUAUCUGGAGGAACACCGGUGGCGAAGGCGGCAUCCUGGACCGGUAUUGACGCUGAUGCGCGAAAGCCAGGGGAGCAAACGGG
rnacentral:rRNA from 1 species